CCUACGGGUGGCAGCAGUGGGGAAUUGUUCACAAUGGGCGCAAGCCUGAUGACGCAACGCCGCGUGGAGGAUGAAGGUCUUCGGAUUGUAAACUCCUGUUGCCCGGGACGAAAAGCUUCGACCUAACACGUCGAAGUCUGACGGUACCGGGUGAGGAAGCCCCGGCUAACUCUGUGCCAGCAGCCGCGGUAAUACAGAGGGGGCAAGCGUUGUUCGGAAUUACUGGGCGUAAAGGGCGCGUAGGCGGCCUGCUAAGUCGAACGUGAAAUCCCCGGGCUCAACCCGGGAACUGCGUCCGAUACUGGUAGGCUCGAAUUCGGGAGAGGGAUGCGGAAUUCCAGGUGUAGCGGUGAAAUGCGUAGAUAUCUGGAGGAACACCGGUGGCGAAGGCGGCAUCCUGGACCGACAUUGACGCUGAGGCGCGAAAGCCAGGGGAGCAAACGGGAUUAGAUACCCUAGUAGUC
rnacentral:rRNA from 1 species